rnacentral:rRNA from 1 species
AGUGAACGCUGGCGGUAGGCCUAACACAUGCAAGUCGAACGGCAGCACAGUAAGAGCUUGCUCUUACGGGUGGCGAGUGGCGGACGGGUGAGGUAUACAUCGGAAUCUACUUUUUCGUGGGGGAUAACGUCGGGAAACGUACGCUAAUACCGCAUACGACCCACGGGUGAAAGCAGGGGAUCUUCGAACCUUGCGCUAUUGAAUGAGCCGAUGUUGGAUUAGCUAGGUGGCGGGGUAAAGGCACAACAAGGCGACGAUCCGUAGCUGCUCUGAGAGCGAGAUUCGCUAGCUUGGCAGAGAGGCAGAGCACAGACUCUUGCGGGAAGAAGCAGUGGAGAAUCUUACAGAAUGGGGGAGAGCCUGAUACAGCCAUACCGCGUGAAUGAUGAAGGACUUCGGGUGGUAGAGUCCUGUUGUUGGGAGAGAAAAGAAGCAGGUUAACACGCCGUUGUUCUGACGGUACCGAAAGAAUAAGCACCGGCUAACUUCGUG